rnacentral:rRNA from 1 species
CACAGCAAAGAAGGGCAUGCAGGGGAUGCCUGGGCGUCUCGUGCCGACGAAGGACGUGGUACACGACGAAACGCUCCGGUCAGGCGUGUGCAGCCGCAAGCAGCCGGAGAUGUCCGAAUGGGGAAACCCGACACGGGUCAUGCCGUGUCAACCUCGCGAGAGGUGGGGCACCGGGGGAACUGAAACAUCUCAGUACCUCGAGGAGCAGAGAAUAUUCCGCUAGUAGUGGCGAGCGAACGCGGAACAGCGCAAACCAGAUGGUUCGCCAUCUGGGGUUGUAGGACUGCCAGCAGCACGUUUGGUGAAGCCGAAAGAUUUGGGAAAAUCUGCCAGAGGGAGUGAGAGCCUCGUAGGCGUCAGGCUGAACGUGUGGGCAGGAUCCUGAGUACCACAGGGCACGCUAACCCGGUGGGAAACCGGGAGGUCCGCCUCCCAACGCUAAACACACGAGAUGACCGAUAGCGCACCAGUACCGUGAGGGAAAGGUGAAAAGAACCCCGGCGAGGGGAGUGAAACAGAAUCUGAAACUGCAUGCUUACAACCGGUCGGAGGAAGCGAUCCUUGAGAUGGCUUCUGACGGCGUGCCUUUUGGAGCAUGAGCCAGCGAGUUAAUGUGAGUGGCAGCCGAAGGCAGGGACAGCCCGUGGCGCAGCGAAAGCGAGUCUGAAGAGGGCGCAAUGAAGUCGGUCACAUUAGACACGAAACCAGGUGAGCUACCCAUGAGCAGGGUGAAAGUCCGGUAACACGGACGGGAAGCCCGAACUGACUACUGUUGCAAAAGUAGCGGAGGACUUGUGGGUAGGGGUGAAAUGCCAAACGAACCUGGAGAUAGCUUGUUCUCUCCGAAAUAACUUGAGGGUUAGCGUCGUGGUUAAAAGCUAGCGGAGGUAAAGCACUGGAUGGGCUAGGGGGCAUCAUGCUUACCGAACCCAACCAAACUCUGAAUGCCGCUAGGCUAUGCACGGCAGUCGGGCGCGGUGAGAUGAGUUGUCGCGUCGAGAGGGAAAGAGCCCAGAUCCACGACUAAGGUCCUAAAGUGCUGGCUAAGUGGGAAACGAGGUGCGGGUGUGCAGACAGCCAGGAGGUUGGCUUAGAAGCAGCCACCCUUUAAAGAGUGCGUAACAGCUCACUGGUCGAACGCCCGCGCGCGGAAAAUGUAACGGGGCUGAAGCCCGCCACCGAAGUCUGGAAUAGGCAAAUGCAAAUUUGCUUAUGGUAGGAGAGCGUCCUGCGGGCGGCGAAGGCGUCUCGGCAAGAGACGUUGGAGCGUGCAGGAGUGAGAAUGCUGGCAUGAGUAGCGUAACGUCUGUGCGAACCAGACGCGCCGUACAUCUAAGGGUUCCGACGGAAGGUCAGUCCGCGUCGGGUGAGUCAGGCCUAAGCCGAGGCUGAAAAGCGCAGGUGAUGGACAACCGGUCAACAUUCCGGUACCGAGAGGUGGAGAGGGUGGGGUUCUCUGAGGAAAGGUCAGCCGCUGAGUGGAUUGCGGUGGCAAGCGGUUCAUGGCCGUGAUGCCGGGGAGCAAUCCCAGAAGUGACUGGACUUUGGGGCAAGAAAAGCCGCACGCUCGAUGAAGCCGGUCGCCUGUACCGCAAACCGACACCGGUGGAUGGGUCGAGUAGACCAAGGCGCACGGGAGAAUCUUCGUUAAGGAAUUAGGCAAAAUGGCCUCGUAACUUCGGGAGAAGAGGCGCUCAUGGAAACGUGAGCCGCAGUGAAUAGGCUCUGCCAACUGUUUAACAAAAACACAGGUCUGUGCAAACGCGCAAGCGGACGUAUACGGGCUGACGCCUGCCCAGUGCCGGAAGGUUAAAAGGAGGGGUUGACGCUCCGAAUUGAAGCCCCGGUGAACGGCGGCCGUAACUAUAACGGUCCUAAGGUAGCGAAAUUCCUUGUCGGGUAAGUUCCGACCCGCACGAAAGGCGUAAUGAAGUGGAGCACUGUCUCAACGAAGAGCCCGGUGAAAUUGAAGGACGCGUGAAGAUGCGCGUUACCCGCAGCUGGACAAAAAGACCCCGUGGAGCUUUACUGUAGCCUGCCAUUGCGCUAGGACUGUGCUUGUGUAGGAUAGCUGGGAGGCUUUGAAGGCGGCGCGCCAGCGUCGCUGGAGCCAUUGGUGAAAUACCAGCCUGGCAGAGUAAUGGCCCUAACCGCCGAGAGGCGGGACCGUGGCAGGUGGGCAGUUUGACUGGGGCGGUCGCCUCCGAAAGGCUAACGGAGGCGCUCAAAGGUGGGCUCAGGCUGAAUGGAAACCAGCCGCAGAGUGUAAAGGCACAAGCCCGCUUGACUGCAAGACGGACCGGUCGAGCAGAGACGAAAGUCGGACUUAGUGAUCCUACGGCGCUGAGUGGAAAGGCCGUAGCUUAUCGGAUAAAAGCUACCCCGGGGAUAACAGGCUGAUCUUGCCCAAGAGUUCACAUCGACGGCAAGGUUUGGCACCUCGAUGUCGGCUCAUCGCAUCCUGGGGCUGGAUCAGGUCCCAAGGGUUGGGCUGUUCGCCCAUUAAAGCGGUACGUGAGCUGGGUUCAGACCGUCGUGAGACAGGUCGGUCUCUAUCCGCUGUGGGCGUUAGGGGUUUGCGGGGAGCUGGCUCUAGUACGAGAGGACCGAGCUGGACCGAGCGCUCGUGUGCCGGUUGUCGUGCCAACGGCAGCGCCGGAUAGCGAACUCGGGAGCGGAUAACCGCUGAAAGCAUCUAAGUGGGAAGCCGACCCCAAGACGAGACCCCUCAUCGUGAAGACGAGUAAGACCGCUGGGAGACGACCAGUUGGAUAGGGCGCAGGUGGAAGCGGGGUGACCCGUGCAGCCAAGCGCUACUAAGGGUCGAGGGCUGAGUGGC